UCCUACGGGAGGCAGCAGUGGGGAAUAUUGCACAAUGGGCGCAAGCCUGAUGCAGCCAUGCCGCGUGUAUGAAGAAGGCCUUAGGGUUGUAAAGUACUUUCAGCGGGGAGGAAGGUGAUAAAGUUAAUACCUUUAUCAAUUGACGUUACCCGCAGAAGAAGCACCGGCUAACUCCGUGCCAGCAGCCGCGGUAA
rnacentral:rRNA from 1 species